rnacentral:rRNA from 1 species
UACGGUAGGGGCAAGCGUUGUCCGGAUUUAUUGGGCGUAAAGAGCGUGUAGGCGGCCCGACAGGUCCGUUGUGAAAACCGUCGAGGCUCAACCUCGAGACGUCGAUGGAAACCGUCGGGCUAGAGUCCGGAAGAGGCGAGUGGAAUUCCUGGUGUAGCGGUGAAAUGCGCAGAUAUCAGGAGGAACACCGAUGGCGAAGGCAGCUCGCUGGGACGGUACUGACGCUGAGAACGCGAAAGCGUGGGGAGCAAACAGG